GUGGGGGAUAUUGCACAAUGGGGGAAACCCUGAUGCAGCGACGCCGCGUGAAGGAAGACGUACUUCGGUAUGUAAACUUCUAUCAGCAGGGAAGAAGAUGACGGUACCUGACUAAGAAGCCCCGGCUAACUACGUGCCAGCAGCCGCGGUAAUACGUAGGGGGCAAGCGUUAUCCGGAUUUACUGGGUGUAAAGGGAGCGUAGACGGUGAAGCAAGUCUGAUGUGAAAACCCGGGGCUCAACUCCGGGAUUGCAUUGGAAACUGUUUUACUUGAGUGCUGGAGGGGCAAGCGGAAUUCCUGGUGUAGCGGUGAAAUGCGUAGAUAUCAGGAAGAACACCGGUGGCGAAGGCGGCCUGCUGGACAUUAACUGACGCUGAUGCGCGAAAGCGUGGGGAGCAAACAGGAUUAGAAACCCGUGUAGUCC
rnacentral:rRNA from 1 species